rnacentral:rRNA from 1 species
GACAGAGGGUGCAAACGUUGUUCGGAAUUACUGGGCGUAAAGCGCGUGUAGGCGGCCUAGCAAGUCGGGUGUGAAAGCCCUUGGCUCAACUGAGGAAGAGCAUUCGAAACUGCGAGGCUUGAGUUCCGGAGAGGAUGGUGGAAUUCUCGGUGUAGAGGUGAAAUUCGUAGAUAUCGAGAGGAACACCGGUGGCGAAGGCGGCCAUCUGGACGGAAACUGACGCUGAGACGCGAAAGCAUGGGGAGCAAACAGG